rnacentral:rRNA from 1 species
UACGGGGGGAGCAAGCGUUGUUCGGAUUUACUGGGCGUAAAGGGCGCGUAGGCGGCCACCGCAAGUCGACUGUGAAAUCUCCGGGCUUAACCCGGAAAGGUCAGCCGAUACUGCGGGGCUAGAGUGCAGAAGGGGCAACUGGAAUUCUCGGUGUAGCGGUGAAAUGCGUUGAGAUCGGGAGGAACACCCGUGGCGAAGGCGGCACCCUGGCCGAGGUCUGACGCUGAAGCGCGACAGCGUGGGGAGCGAACGGG